GACGAACGCUGGCGGCGUGCUUAACACAUGCAAGUCGAACGGAAAGGCCCUUCGGUUGGGGGGUGCGCGAGUGGCGAACGGGUGAGUAACACGUGAGUAACCUGCCCUUGACUUUGGGAUAACUUCAGGAAACUGGUGCUAAUACCGGAUAGGAGCUCCUGCUGCAGGGUGGGGGUUGGAAAGUUUCGGCGGUUGGGGAUGGACUCGCGGCUUAUCAGCUUGUUGGUGGGGUAGUGGCUUACCAAGGCUUUGACGGGUAGCCGGCCUGAGAGGGUGACCGGCCACAUUGGGACUGAGAUACGGCCCAGACUCCUACGGGAGGCAGCAGUGGGGAAUAUUGCGCAAUGGGCGGAAGCCUGAUGCAGCAACGCCGCGUGCGGGAUGACGGCCUUCGGGUUGUAAACCGCUUUCGCCUGUGACGAAGCGUGAGUGACGGUAAUGGGUAAAGAAGCACCGGCUAACUACGUG
rnacentral:rRNA from 1 species